GACGUAGGGGGCAAGCGUUGUCCGGAAUCAUUGGGCGUAAAGAGCGUGUAGGCGGCCCGAUAAGUCCGCUGUGAAAGUCCAGGGCUCAACCCUGGAAUGCCGGUGGAUACUGUCGGGCUCGAAUCCGGAAGAGGUGAGUGGAAUUCCUGGUGUAGCGGUGAAAUGCGCAGAUAUCAGGAGGAACACCAAUGGCGAAGGCAGCUCACUGGGACGGUAUUGACGCUGAGACGCGAAAGCGUGGGGAGCAAACAGG
rnacentral:rRNA from 1 species